UCCCUAGUACGUGCCACUGCUUCCACUCAGGCAUCUCUGCAAAUUCAAGCUUCUCAAGAGAGUUAAAAGGUUUAUUGGAGGACGAACUACCAUAGAAUUCUUCCAUCACCUCUGUUAUUCGAUGCAUCUUUCUAAUGGAAAGGAAUUUCAAACAAGGAAGUUGUCCUAGCGCUGGCAAGGAAAAACAGUCCUUGCAGUUGCUAAGAGACAAUUGUACUAGCAGCUUAAGAAACGAAUCAUCAGCUAGCCAAUUUGGAAAUUGCGUCCCUCUAUAUCCGGAGAUUUGGAGUUCUUUUAUGUUUGUGUGUGGGCAUAGCUCAUCAAGUAUGUCUCUUUCAGUUUGUGAAUUGCCGGCAAUACUUCCACUCCACUUCAAGUAUAACUUCUCAACACUAUUCUUCUCCCUCAUCUUUGCCUUCUGUGCUUCCCUUUUAUCAACCACAUUUUCCAACUCUAAAACUGACAGAGAUUCAUACAAGUAAGAUGCUUCACCCAAAUCUUCCAUUCUCCAACCACCUAGAAGAAACUUGGCUCCCACUAGCACUUGGAGGCUUUUCAACUUGCUCAGAUGUAGCGGCAUCUCCAAGCGAGAAGUGUCGCUUAUGUCAAGGUGCCGCAAGUUGAUUAGCUUUUCCAUCUGUGGCGGUAGCUCCUCAAGAUCAUCACAAGAUGACAGGAGAAGUGUCUCCAAGUUAUACAAUGCACAGAUAGAAUCCGGUAACUUUUUAAUCUCUGUCCGAGAAAGGUCCAAAAAUCUGAGGAGCUUUAAUUUGAUAAACAAAGCAUACGGCAACUCCACAAUCACAUAACCUGACAAUGAUAAUGCUCUUAAGGAUCUUAGACUUGGCAGUAUGUUAUGCAGCACCCUCUUGCUUAGCCUAGGGUGGAAAAGGCGCUGGAUAGAGAUUGGAAGCAAUGUCCUCAGCUGCUCCGACUUAGAGAGCGGUUUCAAUUUCUCAAAGUCACCACCUUCCCCCAUUGAAUACGACAUAUGCCGACUUUGUUCCAACAUAUGAGAUCCUUGGGACUCUUCCAACCUGACGCACAGUUUGGAAGAUGCAGUUUGGGCCAAAUCAUUGACAAGAUCAUGCAUUAAGAAUUUCCCUCCAUCUCUUUCAGAAGACUCUGGGACUCUUUCGAACAAUGAUCUUGAUCUCAACUCAUUAAAGUAUUGGUUGCCUAAAUCUUGAAUUCUUUUAUCUCCCUGUUGUUCUACAAGACCAUUAGCAAUCCACAGAUGAAUAACUUGUUCUUUCCUAAAUGGAUAAUCUUUAGGAAAUAUUGCACAAAAGGAAAAACAUGGCUUUAAGUGUGGGGGAAGUUCAUUGUAGCUCAACAUCAACGCUGGUAGUAUGUCAUUGUUUGGCAGCUCCCAUAUUUCACUUUUCAAAAUACGUCUCCACCCUUCAAUUUCUGAUUUGGAGCGUAACAUGCCAGCGAGCGUCUUCAGAGCUAAGGGCAGUCCUUUGCACUUAGCUGCAAUUUGUUUUCCGACCUCUGCAAGUUCCGCAUGUCCCAUAGGAUCCCCAUUUUCUAAUGAAUGUCGUCUGAAUAAAGCCCAAGAGUCUUCAUCAGACAGAGUCCCCACGUAGAUUGCCCCACUACCGAUCAUCAAGGCAACACUCUCUUUACGUGUCGUCACAAUGAUCUUACUUCCAAUGUCUCCGUGAACAAAAAUAUUCCUCAAGUCAUCCCACUCGUUGUAGUUGUCACUCCACACAUCAUCCAGAACAAUGAGAAACCUUUUUCCAUUUAGUUUUUCCUUCAAUUUGACUUGUAACCGAUUAAGAUUAUUGUCAUCCUUUAAGUCAAAUGAGCCCAUAUCUUGAAGUAACCCUUUUGUUAUUCUGCAAGCAUCAUAUGGCUCAGACACACAAAACCAAGCUGUCAAAUUAAAAUGGCUCUGCACCUUCUCAUCACUGUAAGCAGCUUUAGCAAGUGUUGUCUUGCCCAUGCCUCCCAUUCCAACAAUAGGGACAACGGUGAGAUUUUUUUCACUUGCCUCCUUAGAUGUUAAACGGUCAAUCAAUUCCUUCUUUUCAUUCUGCCUACCAAAGACAUCAGAUUCAACCACAGAAGUUGAAGUUCUAGUUUCUAGUUUCUUACCUGAACCGAAAUACCUCUGUAAGCCAAGGCGACCAAUUUGCUUUUCCAACUCCUCCAAACUUUUAAUGGUUCCUUCCAACUUCUCCUUUAUAUUAAGAAAAAAAUCAUCACUCAAGCGCCGUCCACCUAAAGCCUCUGAAAAAAGUCGAAAUACUUGCUGGUUGCUUGUUUCAGCAAGAUUUUGAUGAUGACCUUCCACCUGAAGCCUCAAAGCCUCAUAAUUGACUUCUUCCAUUAAGUUUUCAGCAGAGUCCACAGCACUCUGAAGCUUAUUAAGCCACUGCCCCAUGAGUGGAUCUGAUGCCUGCUUAUUCUCUGCAUCACUCAGGAAAAUCUGAAGACCAAGCAAAAUGGCCUCCAACUUCUCUAAAAGCCCAACAUCGUACUUAUGUUUCUGAAACAUCUUGAGCAGAUCACCAUGAGGAGCAAGCCUAUCAAAGAAAGCAUUCAAAGCUGAAGAGAGAAAUGCACCACCAACUGCUAAGCCAAUAUCCAUUUCUGAAAUCUACAAAGCAAAACAAGGAACCACAAAAAUAAUUUUGAACAAGCCAAUAUCCAUCUCUCCCUCUCUUUUGCUAGUGUUCUGACUUGUAAUUUUGAACAACUAUGUUUGCUACUAUUAACUAUAAUCUACUAUUACCAAAAAGUUUGACUUUUCAUCCAAGAAGAAGACGAACACUUCAUAAUAAAGUGUUUUUUUGACUAUUUAUCACUUUUUGAGGCAAGAGAGGAAGGAUACUUGUGGGUGUAAUAAAGUGAUGUAAGCUCAUUUUGUCACAUCAUGCAUUUCACUUAAUGUGUAGAGACAGAAUUCCUUGAAGAAGCACAUUAGCAGUUGUAGUAUGUGUUUACGGAGAUAAUAAUAGGUAUUUACAAAUUAUAAUAACCUUGAUAAAGUCUCUACCAUAAUUAAGCUUUACUGUACCCAUUAAUUGCUAAAGUAAUAAACACAAGCAUGGUAUAGGAAAGGUGUGUGUUGAUCAACAAAAUACUUCCUCCAUUCCAAUUUAUAAGUGUCUUGUUUUUGUUUUGUGGUCUGUUCCAAAAAAAGUAUUUCUUUCUAUGAGCCCAUUUGGCCAUAAUUUUUAUUUUUUUUUUACUUUUGCGAAAAAAAAAUUUCACUUUUAUGUCAAAUACAACUCCAAGUUUGAUAUUUGGCCAUGAGAAUUUCAAAUAUAACUUCAAGUUGUAUUUGGAAAAAUGAAAAAUAAAAAAGAGUUGUUUUCACUUUUUUCCAUCUUCCUUUUCUCACAAAAAUUUAAAAACAACUUCAAUUAUAUUUAUGGACAAACAAAACUCCAAUUCCAAUUUCAACUUCAACUUCACCUCAAACUCCAACUUCAAUUUUUUUAAUUUUCAUGGUCAAAUGCCACUAUAUUUAGUUAGUUUUUCAAUUCCAACAUUCUACGUUAAAAGCUUAAGACCAUAAGAUUUAAAAGACUAAACACAUAUUUAAUUUAAGAUCAUAAACUUCAAAAGUUUCCUUUUAUUUUUAAACAUCAUGAUUGGGUUCGAAACCAAGGGGACGUCAUGCAGAAGCUAAAAGUUUGCAAAUCAUAAAGAUGAUGAAUCCGAUGACAAAAAAAAAUACUAAAAACAUAUUAUUAAUAUUGUUUGGUCAAACAACCUUAAAACUAAUAUCGAAAACAUAAAAUCUAUUGGAAUAAGACUCUCCGACGAUUGUGUUAUGACAGGAGAAGCGAGUACAAAAUCCUUAAAAAGAAUAAACCUAACAAUGAAGAGAUCUUUUCCAAUAAGGAAAUUUUUUUGCACAAAAUAGAUAAUGCUGAUGCAAGUAUUAAUAAUGCUGGUAUUAAUUAUGUGGAUAUUAUUUCUUAUGCAGUGUUUAGUUUGGUUUGAUGUAAUAAAAAUAAUAUAUAUUUAAAUAAAUUUUAUAAAAUGAAAAAUGGCUCGGUGGACCCUUGUACCAUGUCCGUUUUAUAAUAGGGAUAAUCCUACUUACAUGUUUGUUAUCUGGACCUUUAAACCCACUAAAAAAUAAUAUUUGAAAUCCCUUGACUGUUGACCAGACCUACGAGGCAUUAAAAUAGCUGAGUAGAAUGAAACGCGAGUAGACACGCGCCUAGGGUAUGAGUGGGGGUCAAUUUUUGAUCAAUUUUAUAUUAAAAUAAUUUUUAAAAAAAUUAAAAGUCCCCCAACAACAGCUUUUUUAAUUUAAAUAUAUUUUUAAAAAUUAAAAAAUAAUACAUUUUAAAAAAAUAAAAAUAAAAAAGGCCCUCCCCCAAACCCUCUCGCCGUCCAGCACCCCACCCCCACUAUCAUCUAUCAGUCCCCUACCCCUACCCCCUCCCCUGCAGCCCCCAAGGUUGCCAUGGCCAUUGCAAUCAGUGGCGGAUCUAUGUGUACUCGUGGGGAUGGCACGGCACCCGCAGAACUCGGUUGAGACAUUGUAUAUAUAUGCAUAUAAUGCAGAAGAAUUGAAUAGAUAAUAUACUUGCCACCCCAUGUACAAAGUGGCAGAUAGUGCCACUGACAAUAUGCAGAAAAUACCACCCUAUAGAGUGUAGACUAGGGAUCAAAACCCUAUCAAUGCACUGCAUUUUUGGCUUCUUCCUUUGCUUGAAGAAAGAGAAGCUGCUUAGCACUUCAGCCACCCCCACUUCAUUUUUUGUGUCUUUUUUGAUAGAUGUGUGUCAAGAGCUUAGUUGUCUUUUUAUUCCCUUUUUAGGUUUUUUCAUUAAUUUUAUUUACUUGCUAUUUUUGAUUAAUUUAAAUGGGUUAUUUUUCUUUAAUUAAUUCCUUCUUUUCUAAAACUUUCUCUUGAUUAAUCUCUUAUACUAGUGUUUCAUGUGUAUUUGUGUGAAUUAAUGAGUAUUAAAUCUUAAACGUCACAAAAAUAUUAAUAAGAACAUAUUAAAUUUUUUAAAAAGUUCAAGUCUAUAAAAUUAUGCAUAUUAUUAUGUUAGAGAUAUUAAAAUUUAAAGUUUUCGAUCGUUUGAACUAAGUGAAGAUGAUUAAAUUGAAGCUAUAAUUUUUAAUUCUUUCAAAUUAUAUAUCUGCAACAACACUCUCAACAUAUAAAGGUAAUGUAACAUGAAUAUAUUAAGAUAACUGUAUCAUAUGUUUUAUAUAAAUUUAAAUUUUUAAACAUGAAAAAUCUCUUUUUCUCUCUCAAAGUUUUGAAGAAUAAGACCUCUUAUAUCGAAAAAAAAUUAAACUGCUUAGGAGUUUUUGAUCUCAGAAUAUCUAAAAUAAACACUCCACAUAGAAUAGGAGUGUUUAUUUGUUCAGAUUAUAUAUAGUUAAAGAUUAUAUUUGUGCACUGUUAAAAUUUAAGGUCAAUGAUAUAAUUUAGUAUAAGUUUAGAGUCAUAUUUAUGCAUUAUGUUAAAUGAAAAGCAUUUGAACUCACAUUGAAAAUCAGAAAAGGUAAGGGGGAGAGGGGCGAUGCAAAAGAAUCAAUCAUACUGAAAUAUUUUGUUAAUUGUAAUUAAUAUAGCAUUUAUAACUUGAUGAAAUGAAAUGGUGUAUAAAGCAAGAACAAGUUACUUGCUUAUUUUGUGUGAUGUGUCAAUUUCAAAAUUGAGUCCCUAAAGCUGUAAGUGCAACAAAAACAUACUUUCAGUCUCAAUAUUGAAAUUUCAAGUAGUUGUUCCUUGAUAAAACAAGGCCAAAAAUUGAAAAUUGAAUAUACAUCAGAUGCAAAACAAAGGAACCACAAAAAUGGUUUUAAGAAUUAUGAGAAGAUAAAUGUUUCUAUCUUCAAAUAUUUAACAACUAUAUUUUACCUUUUGAAUGCUAAGAGUAAUUUGCAAACUAGAAUGAUUUGUGAUUUCUCUUCCUCUCUCUUUUGUUAGUGUUCUUACUUGUAAUUGGUACAGCUAUGUUUGCUACUAUUAACUACAAUCUACUAUUGACUUUUCAUCCAACAAGAAGACAAAGACUUCAUAAUAGGGUGGUUUUUUUUACUAUUGAUCACUUUCUUAAUUGAAUAAUUGAGGCAAGAGAGGAAGGGUACUUGUGGGGUGUAAUAAGGGGGGACCCAAGCAUGGUAUAUGAAAGGGGUGUGUGUGGUAGCAGAAACUCUGUAGGAUUAUUAAGUGAAGAUUAAUGAAGAAAAUAAAUUUCUUCCAAUUUAAGUGUCUUACUUUCGUUUUGUGGUUUGUUUUAAAAAGAAUGUUUCUUUCUAUAUUUAGUUCAUUUUUCAAUUCCAACAAUCUAUAUGAAAAACUUAAGACUGCAAGAUUAAAAGACUAUACAGAUCUUUAAUUUAAGAUUAUAAAAUUCAAAAGUCUCCUUAUAUAUUUUAAGCGUCACAUCCUAACUGAAGCAAAUACAAUAUUAUUUGAUUGUUGAAAAGUAAUGAAAAAGACUAGAGUAAGGACACACAGAAGACCAAGACAACACAAGUUGUGUCAGAAGUAAUUGAUGCAGUUCAUUUGUCACCAAUCAACCUAUUGCUUGCUAGUUGUUAUAUUUUCUUCAUUGUUUACCUCUGCUUUGUACUUGAAUUUUCUACACUUAAGUCGAGGAUCUUUCGGAAACAAUCUCUCUACCUUACCGAGGUAGUGAUAAGGUCUGCGUAUACUUUACCUUCUCCAGACCUCACUUUUGGAAUUUCACUAUGUAUUAUGUAUGUUGCUGUUGUUGUUCAUUUGUUGUAUUAAAAGAAUAAAGUGUAUUAGGAUAACAACAAUGUAUAAAAGUAAGUACUUAAUAAGAUAUAUAAUACAAUAAAUACAUGUAUUAUUUCUUUUAUAGGUAGAUUGGUGACAAAUAAACUGUAUCAAUUACUUUGCACUCUUGGUCUUCUGUGGCCUGCGUAGACUGUAGUCCUUUCCACUACUUUUCAAUAACUCAAUAGUCAAUAUAGAUGGUUGCAGAAAUGAUGUAUUCCCUCCGUUUCAAUAUAAGUAUUUUAGUUUGAUUGUGCACGAUGUUUAAAAAUAAAAGGAGAUUUUUGAAUUUUAUGAUCUUAAAUUAAAGAUGUGUAUAGUCUUUAAAACAUUACGGUCUUAAAAUUUUCAUGUAGAAUAUUGGAAUUGAAAAACGAACUAAAUAUAUGAAGAAACAUUCUUUUUUAAAACAAACAAUAACACGAAAGUAAGACGCUUAAAUUGAAACAAAUCUCAAACUUGUAUUAAUGGUGAAAUUUUUGUUCUUGAGGAUGAGAAUGAGUUCCAAUCACAAUGAUACUACCAUUUCGUCUGAGAUACUACCAUGCCCGUGACUAGCAGCUGUUGAAAUAUUGAAAUGGAGGUAGAAACAACUACAAGUUAAUGCAUGUGUAUACAGUCUUUGUAUUACUAAUAUAUGAAAAUACUAUUUAUUAUUAAUACACAAUAAAGUAUAUAAUAGAUUAAAAAAUAUAUCAAACAAGAUAUUUGUAGUACACAUUAACUAAUGCAUGCAUUAUUUUUUUCAAUAACUCUACCAAACAACCCCUAAUAGUAUUACUUGAGCAUACCAUAUAAUGAAUAUGUGAAGAAAAUUAUUUCCUUCCCCACAACCAUUACUUGGGCCCACUCCCUCUCUUCCCAUUGAUUUUUAUUAAGUUUGGGUGUGUAGUUAAGAGGGGUUGGUUGAUUGAUGACAAUUGAGAAGCUAAGUUGCUCGGACUCUCCAAAAAUGUUGCCGCACUCGUGUUGGAUUCUUAAAAAAUAUACUAUUUUUGGAGGAUCCGACACACACCCAUAGACAUAUUUGAAGAGUCCGAGCAUCUUAGUUGAGAAGGACUAAUUACUUUUGGCACAUGCAACUUGUGCUGUCUUGACCCCAUGUUGUAAUCCAUCCACCAUUAAUGCUAUAGCUGUUUAUAACUUGUUGGAUUGUAGCUGCUCACAUAAACUCUGCAACAGUAAAAGGUACUCAUAGAGUCCGAAGCUGAAAAGGCUAAUUUUUGGAAUAAAAACGUCAAAGCGGAUAAUGAAUACUUGAAGAAAUCAAAUGAGACAAAACGCCCUUCGCCCAACAAUUUAGAAGUUGGUGGUGGCUAGUGACUUGUGAGUCGUUGUGGUUCAGCAACUCCGGUGACUUUCUUUAAUUAUUUAUUUAUACCCAGUCUUACUCUAUAUAAGUUUCUUCUCCGUGUUUGAGUCAAGUUAUUUAUAUCAUUUGCUCAAACUCAUUGUCGAUGGGUUCUUGAACAAUGAGGCAACGUUCAAUUGACACAUACAUAUCAAAACUCGUUAAGUUAAUGCGAUUAUUAAAAGUUUCAGCAGUGCGGCCCAUUUUGUUCCUUAGUGGACGUUGCAACUGUUCACAUUUUAGAGAUAAUAUAUACACUUGCACAACUACAGUCACAUAUAUUUGCAUAACUACAGGCGCUCGACUAUAUUUUACAAAACCGACUUCAUAUAAAACAUGACCAGCACAAUAUAAAUUUAGUCUUAUUGAAUCCUCAUUCAUCUUUUAUAUAACAAAAAGGUAACUUCUACAAUGACUUACAAGUCAUUGGCCAACCAACAACUUCUAAAUUGUUGGCCACGGAUGUUUUGUCCCAUUUAAUUUUUUCCAACAUUCAUUGUUCCGUUUGGUAUUUUUGCCAAGUCAUUGUGCCCCCAGUGACUUCUAAAUUGCUGGGCCAAGGGCGUUUUGUCCCAUUUGUUUUCUUCCAACACUCAUUGUCCCCUUUGAUAUUUUUGCUCCAAAAAUUAACCCUUUCAGCUCCGAACUCGUACUCAUAGCAGUUUGAUUUAGCAACAAAGUUUGAUUUAGCAACAAAUACACUGGGAGCUGCUGUACAUAAUACAACGACUUGUUAGGAUGACAGAUUGUUGCUGAAAGAAGUGGUAAUGAUGCCUCAACUUGAACUAAGCCAUAUGAAUGUUGAACUUAUACAAGUUUGAUGUUUUAAUUUUAAAAGGUAGACAUUUUAGCAUUAACCUUAGCAUUUCAAGUCUCCAAGUGGUUCCCUAGAGAAUCACGCUCCUGUGUCAUAAGACUUGUAGCUCGGUACUUGUGUAUCCUUCCAACUUCGAGUGUCUCCUUGAUUCAUCUAACUAAACUAUUCGAGUGUCUUCUUGUUUUUGUGCACACAUCUAACUAAACUAUUCGAGUGUCUUCUUGUUUUUGUGCACACACAUGUAAAACGUGGUUCAUCUAACUCAACUAUUCUAAUACAUGACUUUUGUGACUGCGAUGAGAGAAUGGAGGGAAAGGCCCUGUUUCUGUCUCUUCAAUUAUACACUCUUUACCAACAAGCAAGUUUGUGCACAAACACAAUUCUCUCAUUGCCAACUAAACCUGAUGAGAAGGGUGCAUGGGCUUCAUGAAUACAAUAGACGGUCUAUUGUAUGCAGCCUUACCUUGCAUUUCCACGGCUCGAACACAUGGCAACAACAUUACUAGCUAAUCCAAGACUCCCCUUCAAUGUUACCAAUCAAAAAGAAAAAGAAAAAAAAACAGCAGAAUUUUGUGAACAGAAAAGAUGUACUGUCUACUCAAAACUGAAUUUAUGCUGUUAUCACAUAAUUUGAUGUUAAUAUCUUCAUCUUUAUCAACUUUUGGGUAUAACCUCCAAUUUCUGUGGUGUACUCUCAGUCAUAUCCUUGUCACCUUCACGAAGACAGGACGAACAUUUUCGGUUAUUUCUCUUGAGGUUCAAGGCUACAAAAUGCGGCUCAGGAACCAGGUAGAAUCAUUCUCCAAGAGAAACUGCUGUUAACACAUGUUACAUUUGAUUUUCCAUCUAAAGAAGAAAGAAUCAUAUAACCUUGUUUAAUUGACUCCUGCUGCUACAUACCAUCCGUUUCGAGUAAAUUACAUUUUUGGCAUGAAUCAUAUCAAGGUUAUGUACAAUAAUCUUCACAAGGGACCCAACUUUUUGAGUCUUCCCAACAUUUUCGUCAUGGUAUUGAGACUGUAAACUGGCAUUCUUCCUUGUAUACCAAGUGAUGAAGCAAGACAGCAACAAGGAAGUCUUAUUUUUUCUGGAAAGUUAUCAAUAACAAAAAUGCUACGCAGCGACUGGCAGCACCGAGAAGGAUGAGUUUUAGUAAGCAAGGCUACCAAUGAUCAAGCGCGUAGCCUUUUGUCCUUUGUACACCACAUCUUGUGAUCAGACACACUCCAGAGUACCUAAAAUAGAUCAACAUAUGACUUCUUAAUCCCAAAAUAUGAUUUGAUAUUCAACAGCUGAUCAUGGCUAAUGAUUACGUAGAAGGCUAGUAGUAGGUAGGUUCGCGCUUUGCUUUUCAUUACCAGUAGUAUUAGUAUUAUUAUUUCCGUAUUUCUCAUUCCUACUUUUCUAUUACUACUUAUUGUCUCAUAUGCUACGGUUUUUUUACUAUCUUGCUGGUGUUACUGCUUAUGUUUCCCUAAAUGCUGUGAUUAUGUUUCCCAAAGUAGGGUAAGGUCGUGUACACUCUAUUGUCUCCAUAACCUCACUUGUGGGAUUACACUGGAUAUUGCUAUUAUUAUUGUCGUUCUAAAUUUCAGCAAGUAUUUGUUUAGCAAGGUUAACGGUAAUGAAAGAAGAAUUUAGACACAGUGGAGAAGGAUUCACCAGACCUUUUAGAACAUUAUUUUUCCUUUUUUCUGCAGUGAACAUAGAAAUUAGAAAGUGAUUAUACUCUCUAAAACACAUGAUAAACAAUUACACAACGUAAAAUCAGAUUUCUAAAUACUGGAGAUACAACAUGUCAUCUUUUGAUUUUCGUUGGCUCAGACGUAUUUAGAGAAACAAGAAAGUCAUUGUCACAUCGACAAAAUACAUGAGAAACUUGAUUGUUAAUAUGUAAAGUAGCGAGCCUUCGACCCUUGUGACACAUUUUGAAGUCGCACAAGCCUAAUCCGAAACCCAAAGCCAACAAUACAAGCUAUCACAUCCAUAGUCUUGAUGUACCAUCCAACAUGAAAAUAAAAUACCACUCAAAGCUUCAACAUAGAUGUUUUAAACUUUUCACUUCCUAAAUUAUCAUUGAGCUUCGUCAAAAUAACAAUAUGUUCUUUUGUGUGUUCCAUUAAACAACUUUUAUUCUCAUGUACCUUUGGGUUCCAUUAGAGUUGUAUGCUCCAUUUGCAGCAAGUCAUGCUUCAUAUAUCUCAACCAAGCCAAAAUCGAUGGUUGUACAACUUGAAAAUCGCAAACUCCUUACUCAAAGAAAACCUAACUGAAAGCAAAUAAAAAAGAAAUAUUAGAGCUUUUAGACAUAUUAGGUAUUACAAUUACUGACCAACCCAUGUGUCUAUAGCUAAAUAUGAAUCCUACAAAACUGGAUCCUAAUUAAUGGACGAUGCCAAAGAAGUCACAUUCAUCAAUCAUUAGUAUUAUCUAUUAAAUGCCAUGUUGUUAAAACAUUGAAGAUUAACGAAUUUAAAAAAAAAAAAAAAAGCAGCCCGGUGCAUUGAAGCUCUUGCUAUGCAUAGGGUUCGGGGAAGGGCCCCAUCACAAGGGUGUAUUGUAUGCAGUCUUACCUGGCAUUUCCACCAAAGACUGUUUCCAAUGCUUGAACCCAUGAACUCCUGUUCACAUGGUGACGACUUUACCAGUUACUCCAACGCUCCCCUUCAAGAUCAACGAAUAAAGCUGCUUAAUGAAAAAGAACUGUGUUUGAAAAUCUUCUUCAAUUCUUUUUUCUGUUGUUGUUGCUUUCCAAGCUUGAUGCAAUUUUCUUACAAGGAAUAGGCAAAAUAUACCUCAUUGUGGAUUAUAGAUUUCAUUUUUCCGAAAGUCGCGAUUCCGCAAGUUGAUUGAACAAGUCCUGCAAUGAUAAUAUAUCAAUGAACUGAAACGAGCUAAUAAACAAGGAAGGAGAAAUUUUUAAAAAUAAAUGGUAGAUUAUCCAAAGAGUAGGGGCCCGUUUGAUCGGUGGGAUAAUUUAUCCCAUCAUAUAUAUGGGAUAAUUUAUCCCAGUACUAACUAAUACCUCACACCAAACAUGGGAUAAACUAGUCCUUCAUUUUAUCCCGGAACUAUUUAUCCCUUACACCUCACACCAAACGACCCCCUAAGUGUUGUUCAUAGUAGCAUGAAUUUCAUCUUAGGCUAGUCCUCAACUAUCUCAAGUGUAAAAAUGGUUCAAGCAAUGGAUGUCUUGCAUACAUGAUUCAGAGAUAGAGAAAUUAAUGAUUACCAGAAUGUAGAGGGAUGAAGGAAGACCUUUAUCGACUCUGAUUGGAUACAAUCAUUACCCCGAAGCACCUCUUCCUUGACCAAGGAGACUUCAGAGAAUCGCUAUUGCGAUGAAACUUCAUGCAUACAGACAAAUGUAAAAUAACGAAAAAAGUUAGCCUUAUAUUAAUGGUGGAAAAGGACACUCUUUUGAUAUGAUUCAGGCAAAACUACACUCACAUUCAUUAAGUAAGAACUCUUAACUGAGACAACAAUGGAGACCGUAUUGCAGUCAAUUCCUAACUAAGACGACUUGAUUCCCAAAACAUUGGAUGAUCGUCUUCUGAAGUGAUUAUAUAUUGUGUUUGUUCAGACAUACCACCAAAUUCACAUAUUUCUAUUGGAAAUGAAACUUCAAGCAUGGUUUAAUAUAACUUGAAAGGAGAACAAACACUUACUGAUUGAUUUGAGAGGCAAUGCUUUGUGAUUUGUUGGUGCAAUCAAGUGAAAUUUUCUAUUUGGUGGAAAAUUUGAUUGUCUGAACAGCCAAAUCUAUAUGCUGAAUAGUCAACAGUAGUAAAAGAAUUACCUGGAUCAAAUCAAGCUGCAUAAACUUUACAAUUCGUAGAGCUUAGUGUCAUCCUCACCUAUAAUAAACUAGUGACUUAUUGUAAUUAGGACAACAUAUCAGUUCUGAUAGCUAAUAACACUGGAUCAUGUAAGUGGUACUAGAAAAUGACGACUACUUCUAAUUGGUGUUCGAACUUACAGAAUUUGGGUGGAUCAAAGUGAUUGCAGCGAAGAAUUGAUCUGAAAAAUCCAAUAGUAGGUAUAACCGACUGACAUCCCUGCUUUAGAAUGACAGCAAGCACGGACUGGAAGAAAAGAGGCAAUUGAAUGAUCAAAGUAGCGGUUGCUUCCGCUUGUGGCAUUCGAGCGCCUUGACACCUUAAUAACAAGGAAUCCCCCUAUUCCCAGAAGUAAGGGAAACACCUUUCGUCACGCCACAUGAUUCCUGAAUGACCGUACCACGGAAUUCUACCGUACUCCGUGCGCUAUGGUUGUUGAUACUGCAGAGUCUACUCAGAGGUUCAGUCUAGAUUGUAGUCCAGAUAUACACCCAAGGCUUCCCAGGUUCAAAUCUCAGCAGAGCAAAAAACACUAGGUGAUUCUUCCCAUCUAUCCUAGCCUUUGGGGAAAAAGUUACUUGAUAUAUGUUGCUGAUGAGAGGUGGCAGGUAUCCCGUGAAUUUAGUCGAGGUGCGCGAAAGCUGGCCUAGACACCAAGGUUAUCCAACAACCAAAAAAUUGUAGUCACAGAUAUUCUGAUCAAAGAGUAAUACUGUCAAAUUCCACACAAAAGAGAAGCACUUCUCUUCACUUACAGUUUGCUCGCAGACCACAGUCGAGGUGAUUGUCUUUUCAAGGGAGAAUGUUAGCACAAUUUUCCUUUCACCAAUUGAGCUAAGGCAUAGUGUUACCAAAAUACUGAUCAAGAAAAAAAAAGGAAGAUUUAAAACUCAUUAAUAGUUGAAGCCAGGUAAUUCAUUGUUCUAAUGCUUUCAGAUGUUAACCUUUCUUACAACAACAACAUACCCAGCAUAUUCCCACCAAGUGGGGUCUAGGGGAUGUUAGCCUUUCGUAUUUUUUAUAUAUAGGAACCAGAAUUUUUUUACACAUGUACCUUGGAUAUUCUAUUGGAGACACUGCACUUUAUGACAAGUAAUCCCCUUUCUCAAAUUCUAGACAUGGUUCGAGCAACAGGCAGUUGGAAGUACAUAGUUCAUACAUGGAAGAGGUCAGUCUGAUGGUUCUGCAAGCGAUUGGAGAUUACGUCAAUGAUAUAUAUAUAUUCAGCUCAGCGAUUGAAUAAAUCCUACAAUGCCAAAUCAAGCUAAUAGGCAAGCAAAGGCGAAUAAUUAACUGUCAAGUUAUCUAGACAUUAAAGAACAAUGAACAAAGCACUUCUGAAUAAAAAAGAACUGGGUAUGAAAAUUUUCCUUCAAAAUCUUUGCUUUCCAAGCUUUAUAACAAGGAAUGGGCAAAACAUAAUACCUGAUUGUGAAAUAGAGAUUUCAUUCUUCAAGCAUUUGUGCAGUUCUUCGUGGUUCUGCAAAUUGAUUGAACAACUCUGCAAUAAUAAAUGGAUCAACAAACUGAAAAAAAGCUAAUAGACAAACAAGGAGAAGUUUUCAAAGCUAACUGUCAUGUUAUCUAGACAGUAAGUCAUAUUUUCACUAGCACGAUCUUCAUCUUUGGACGAAAAAAAAUAAAAUUUUUUGGGCUAAAUUAUAGUUUUUGGGUACUUUAAAAAUUUAGAAUUUACCUUGAACUUUUAUAUUUUUAAAAAAAACUCAACCAAUUAUUCCUCCCAACUAUAAUUGUCCCAAUUGUUUCAUUCUUGUCAAGUCAGUAGUGGUUAAAGCCUCUAAGCUUAUAUUUUAUGACUUUUUUGAAAAAAAGUGAAAUAUGUUUUCCAAAAACAAAACUUUACCGAAAACUUCACCAAAUAGCUUAACAAGGGAAAAUAAUUAACAAACAAGCAACGAGGAGUAAUAAGCAAAACUAUAAAGCUACUGAGGAAAAAGAAAGACUUACAUGUGUGGGAGCUUCUUUUUAUUAAUCAUCACAGGCAUUCAUGGACAAGUAUUGAGACACCGAUACAUAUUUCAGGAAUAUGAGCAAUUUUUGGCCAGCACUCCCCCUUGUCAAAUUCUAGGAGUGGUUUGAGCAAUGGGCAGUUGCAAAUAGAUAGUUUAGAGAGGGAGGAGGGCAUCCCUUUUACUGGAAGGGAUCGGAGAAUAGGGAUAUUCUCGAUGGUCAGCUCAGAGAGGGAGGAGGGAAGCACCGAUUCGGGAAGUGAUCGGAGAUUAGGGCAAUUCUCGAUGAUCAGCUUAGAGAGGGAGGAGGGAAACACUGAUUCUGCAAGAGAUUGGAGUUGAGGGCAAUUGCUGAUUACUAGACUUUGAAGCGAAGUGAGGUGCUGAAGACCUUCGGUCGGUAGUGAAUGGAGCUCAUCAUGGUCACAUAAACAUAGCUCAGAAAGAGAGGAGGGAAGCCCUUCUUCCAGAAGUGACAGAACUUGAAGUAAAUUAAAAGUCCGCAGGGAUUCAAGAGAGGUGAGGCUGUUGAGAACUUGACUGCUUAAUGUUUUCAGAUUGCCUAUGAAAAGCCUUCGAAUAGAGCAAGGCAACUCCCAAUUCUCACCACCAACAAUCUCUUCGUCACUGCCAUUGUGGAAGAUGUACAACUCUCUGAGAGACAGGAGUCUCUGUAAACGCCACUCCUUUCGGCCGUUCACCAGCUUCUCGCAAUCCCUGAUGUCAAGGAUUUGUAAAUUGAAGGGCAAUCCUCCAUCAGGAAAGGACUCCAUUUCUGGACAAUUGUAGAGUCGCAGUACCUUAAGAGAUGGAAGGAGUUCCUGCAUACGUUCUGGCAGCCGCUUCAGCUUUUUGCAAUCUUGAAUACCCAAUGACGUCAUCUGGGUCCCACAUGCCACCGAAGAAAGUAGUAUUUCAACAUUCUCACAACAACGAAUAUAGAGUCUUUCAGUCCCAUUAGGAAUCAAAAACCUAGUAAGGUUUUGGCAUCUCACUACACUGAAAUAGCGUGCUCUUGGGACCAACUCAGGUGAUGAUAUAGAAUCACAUUCAUCCAGUUCCAAUCCCUCCAGAAACAUGUUAGAAUUCAUCUUACUGCUAUCUGGUGCCUCCAAUUUCAAUUUCCGGCAACGAAUUAUCCUUAUUAUCUUCAAAGUACUCGGCAGAGUGCUAAUAGGAAAGGAGGUAAGAGAGAUGCAAUCACUAAUAUCUAAUUCCUCAAUCUGCUUCAUUCCCUCAAGUUGGGAUGUAGACACUUCAGCUUCAUCAAAGAGAACUCCAGCCUUAGGAGAACCAUCAACUUCAAACCUUUUUAGACUUGAAAGUUGGAUGGGUGUCUCCAAAUUGAGUUCAGGACAUCUUGAGAUUCUCAAUUUCGUCAGAGAACAAAGAUUCUCGGGCAACUUCCCAACUAACUUGGGGCAAUCAUCAAUUGAAAGGUUCCGAAGUGCAGGAAACUCUCCCUUCCCUAGUACGUGCCACUGCUUCCACUCCGGCAUCUUUGCAAAUUCAAGCUCCUCCAGAGAGUUAAAAGGUUUUUCAGAGGACGGACUACCAUAGAAGUCCUCCGUUAUCUCUGUUAUCGAAUGCAUCUCUCUAAUGGAAAGGAAUUUCAAACGAUGAAGUUGUCCUAGUGCUGGCAAGGAAAAACAGUCCUUGCAGUUGCGAAGAGACAAUCGUACUAGCAGCAUAAGAAACGAAUGAUCAGCUAUCCAGUUUGGAAAUUGUGUCCCUCUAUAUCCGGAGAUUUGGAGUUCUUUUAUGUUUGUGUGUGGGCAUAGCUCAUCAAGUAUGUCUCUUUCGGUUUGUGAAUUGUCUGCAUCACUUCCACUCCACUCCAACGAUAACUUCUCAACAUGAUUCUUCUUCUCAUCCCUCAUCUUCGCCUUCUGAGCUUCCCUUCUAUCAACCACAUUUUCCAACUCUAAAACUGACAGAGAUCCAUACAAGUAAGAUGCUUCACCCAAAUCUUCC
rnacentral:lncRNA from 1 species